rnacentral:hammerhead_ribozyme from 1 species
AUCCAGCUGACGGGUCCCGAAUAGGACGAAACGCGCAUCCUGGAU